GUUACACCUGUGCAAACAGACAGCGAUCCUUAUGGAGCUGGGGCCUUGCAACACGUGGUCAAUUAGAGAUCCUUCUCACUGCACAAAAAUAAAACUGGCUAAAUACAGACAGCUCCACUCCACAGCAAGGUGGGGCACACACGUGUUGUGUGGACCUUUGGAGAAGAAUCAGGGAAUUAACUUCCCAACCAGCAAAGCAGGUACUGGGACCAAGACUGACAUCUCAGCCCUCAAAAGAGACGAAAAACAGGUCCCUACCCUGCUGCCUAACAGAGGCCAGUGGAAUAUAUCCCAGGAGAGUCAAGUUUAUCUUAAAUUAAACUGAGCCCAGAGUCCCAUGUGACAUUCCAGCGAGCCCACAGCUAUCAACAGCCCAAGCCCACUGCCAGCUCUCACUUUCUCUGGCCUCCUGACUACUAAGGGCUCGAAACGUUUUCUCAGAAAGAGUCAGUGUCGGGUCCUGCCGAGCCACUCUGUGCUCAGAGCCACGUCCUGCAGCGCAGAGGCCCGCUGUGCACAGAGGCACGGGGAGCGAGCAGCUGGGCUGGCUCGGCAACGCCGGGGCCGUGGCGCCACCUCGCGGCUCUGCGGCACCCAGCCCUCCCAGCGGCGUUCCCGACAGGGCGGCUUACUUAUCCAGGCGGACUGCUUCUGCGUAGGCUCUCCUGGCAUUCUCCGUGUCGUCCAGAUUGGUCAGAGCCACUGCAACGAAGAAACUGAGUGCAGUGGCUGAAAAGCCCAGCGGAGAAAACACAGGCAAUGUUUCAAGACGGCAGUUCAUUCAGCCACCAAACCUAACUAACUCCUGGUGUGCCCGCCCAGCUCCUGGCACCACCGUCUGCGCAGCCACUCAGCUUGGAUUCCAGAGGACGUGGCUGGGAAGAAGGAACAACAGGAAUGGCCUUUGCCCCAAAGCCCUAGCGGUACCACAGCUUCUCCUCCCACCACAAAAUGCCAGCCCCUCUGACCCCAGUUACUUCUCGUAUGUGUUCCUGCCUUGGUUGGAUAUAAAAUAUGGUUGAAGAAAAUUCCAAAAGCAGUGUUGUGACUAAUAUAACCAGAAAAGUUACUAUCAUGGUAGAAGACAAAGGUAAUUAACAAAUUAAUAGAAAUCUACGUUUAGUUCAAAGUCUAAUUAUCAGGAGUAACAGACUCUGUGGCCUUAAACCACAGAUGAGGCAUUCUAUUAACUGACCAAACAAAUGAGACACUACAGCAUUUUGCUACAGCUCUCCCACUUAAACACAAGACCCCAGACAGAAAAGACAAGACAGCAUGUGUCCCUAGAAAAGAAACGCAGAACACACUGGGAAAGCCAGUCAGUUACGUUUUCAAGGGGGGUUUGGCUGACCCUAAUGAUACUUUUCAAAAGCAUGAUAUUGGUCUCAAGCUAACAAGGCCAGAUCUUUAUUACUCAAUCAGGAGAUUUCUCUCCCUAAUAUCCUGAAACACAAGAUCUUUUAUAAAGUUUAAAACCACAAUGGCAGACUGCCAGCUGACUCCAAAAUCUGCUCUCUCCUUCCUCCUAAGCACAUCUGCCCACCUCCCUUGCAGCUAGAUGUGGCCACCUCACUAAUUUCGAACCAGAGAAUGUCUGCGGGAAUGAUGUGUGCAACUUCCUAUUUAUUCAGUACUUAGCUUCCUAUACCACCUCCCCCAACCACAGCUUGGAGCACAGAUGCUACAGUAAGUUAGCUGCAACCAUGCAGGUGAAGGCAACAACCUAAGGAAUGAUGAGGAAGGAACAUGGAAGGAACCUGGAUCCCAGAUUGAUCUUGUGGAGCAAAGCUGCCCAGCUAGGCUAGACCAGCCACACGGAUGGGUGAGAAAGAAACAUGUCUGUCUUCCUUAUUUAAACAAUCGGGAGCUCUAAACCUUAGCUUAACAGUAACUCUGGCUCCUACAACUCACAAUGUGUAACAGUCACACGUGUUCUCUCUUAGACUUGGGAGUUCACGUCUGCUCCCAUUUUUGUUUUAGUUUCUCGCUGCUCUAAAGGAACAGACACACUUACUCCACUGCUUUCUUGUAGAUUUCGAUGGCCUUGUCCAAGUCUCCCUCCAGCAAAUGGAUCUUGCCCAGCAUUAUGUAAGUCAGAUCAUGCCUGUUAAGAUGUAGGGCAUUGUGCAACUGGUCUUGUGCCUAACAAGAUUGACAGAGUAAAGAGAACCAGAUCACUACCGUGAAAGGACAAUGACCUUGUAUGGCUAAUGUAAAGACAGAGCUCCUGCUAUACUAAUGUAGGAAUAUCACAUUUCAGCAAAUGCCCCACUACCCAAAAAACUAAAACAUACCCAAGCCGUGCGUGCUCAUAGGACAGCUGGCAACACGGAGUGUCUGCCUCUAGAGCCACUUGGGGGCCUGUACAGAUGAUUAAACCUUCUGAGUGUUUCUGCUUUCUGAUAUUCACACCCAUGACUCGUAUUUCGUAAGUCAAAAGGGAUAUCAUGGUCUGCCCCAAACUCGACCCCAGCUGCACCACUGACCAAAUGCACACCCUUCCCCAGGGUGGACCUCAUUUUCCUCACCAAUAUUUUGAUGAAUGAAUGAAUCCUCAUUUAUUCAUUCAACGUGUAUUCAUCGAGUGCCUGUUGCUCUAGGUACUAGUAUACCAGAGCUAACGCAAGAGCUUAUGCCCUCGUAGAUGAUGAAAAGGGCUUCGUUUAGUCCUUCACUGAUUCAACAAGUAUUUCUAUAAAUGCCAGGUACUGUAUAUGCUUAGCCUGUAGGCUUUAUAGUAAAAUCUAAAUAUAAUGCUUCUCCUCCAUACAGGUCUGACCAAAAACCAAUUCCAUCUCUCCCUGGGCUCAGAAUAAUCCUGUGAAUAGAUAUGUACUUACUCAGUUCAACUGAGUAUUCACCCUUCACUUUCUGCCAUAAAUACCCAUCCUAAUCACUUCCUUGUAGAUGCUUGAAAUAUCCUCUGAAGAGAGAAAGCUCCUAACCAAAUAUGUAACACUGAAGAUCUAGAUCUGCCCAGAAAACCUAAGGGACCCACUAAAUAUGUAUAUUUUAUUUACACAGAUAUAGGUAUUAUUUAUUUUUAUACAUCUCACAGGAGCAAAAGUUAUUCUCAUACCUCAAGUGCUGAUGUGCAGGGUUUUCUCCAUACCCCGGAGGGACUGAUUCGGUUGCAUCAGUUUACAAAUUGAUAUAUAUUAAACACUGUCAAAUGGGUAUCAACUAAUUCAGAUUCUCAGUCCUGUCAGCACUGGAGAAAGGAGAAUACAACUUCAUAAUCACUAAGUGGGAGCUUUAUGAAGGAAACUCUACCCAACCCCACUAUCAUUAACUUUUAGAGUUCUCUAUAAUUUGGUCUAUCCCUCAAUUAAGAUAUAUACAUUUUUUCCCUUAUCUGAGUACCAGGGUAAGCGCAAAUGUUUUAUCUGAUGUAAGAGCCUUAGGCACUGUAGCCUAAUCACAAUGAAAUAUAAAAAUGAAACAUAAAAAUCUCACACGGAAAAUAACCUUAAAAACAAACUCUCAGAAAUCAAAUCUAUUUAAGAUUAAAAAUUCAUUUCCGGGCUUCCCUGGUGGCACAGUGG